GUUGGUGAGGUAACGGCUCACCAAGGCGACGACGGGUAGCCGGCCUGAGAGGGCGACCGGCCACACUGGGACUGAGACACGGCCCAGACUCCUACGGGAGGCAGCAGUGGGGAAUAUUGCACAAUGGGCGCAAGCCUGAUGCAGCGACGCCGCGUGAGGGAUGACGGCCUUCGGGUUGUAAACCUCUUUCAGCAGGGAAGAAGCGAAAGUGACGGUACCUGCAGAAGAAGCGCCGGCUAACUACGUGCCAGCAGCCGCGGUAAUACGUAGGGCGCAAGCGUUGUCCGGAAUUAUUGGGCGUAAAGAGCUCGUAGGCGGCUUGUCACGUCGGGUGUGAAAGCCCGGGGCUUAACCCCGGGUCUGCAUUCGAUACGGGCAGGCUAGAGUGUG
rnacentral:rRNA from 1 species